GGCGCCACCUGCGGCGCGCGCGCGCGCCCUUCCAGCCCUGCGCGCGCGGCCCCGACGACACCGCGAACUUCGACCUCGUGGAGGAGGGUCACGUGCAGCGGGACCCCCCCCCGGAGCCCUGGGACCCCCCAGACCUGGGGCUGCAGCUGCCGUUUGUGGGGUACUCGUAUGUGCGAGGGGACCCCGAGGAAGAGGAAGAGGAGGAGGAGG